ACGGAGGGGGCUAGCGUUGUUCGGAAUUACUGGGCGUAAAGCGCACGUAGGCGGCUUUGCAAGUUAGAGGUGAAAGCCCGGGGCUCAACUCCGGAAUUGCCUUUGAAACUAGAUAGCUAGAAUCUUGGAGAGGUCAGUGGAAUUCCGAGUGUAGAGGUGAAAUUCGUAGAUAUUCGGAAGAACACCAGUGGCGAAGGCGACUGACUGGACAAGUAUUGACGCUGAGGUACGAAAGCGUGGGGAGCAAACAGGA
rnacentral:rRNA from 1 species